UUAAAUAACUACUCAGUACCGAAAUCAAAAUAUGCAUGGAUAAUUUGUUGAUGUUUUCGAUCAAUUAAAUAGCGUAAUCCUAUGUUUUUAUCGAACGUCGCUUCCACACAAAAACGACGCGCGCAUGCACUACAACAGCCCGGAAGUUAGCUACUGGAGAAAUCAUUGAUCAAAGUUAACCCGUUUCUCAGCACCGUAAAUUAGUUCGAGUGCAAGUAAAAAGCAUUUAUGGAAAUAAUUUAGCACUAAUACGUGUAAAUUUCUAUGGUUGAUCAUAAUAUCUAUCCAAAGACCAAAUGCAGUAAGUUAGAAAGCUCCCUUUACCUCCGAGGGAGAGUCCAAGAAUAAGGCAGGCAGCUGUCAGUUUAAUGAAGUUAUGCUAACAACAAUUUGGAAGAAAACAUUUAUUCUCAACUAACGAGAAGCAAUUGGUCAUUCAUUCAAAGGUAUCCACCACCCACAGAUGGAGGGGUUCGAUCUCGUGCCUGUAGACGGUGGCAGUCCUAUACACCUGCCCGUGGGGGAGACACUGCUGAGAAGGGGUCCAUUCCUCGGCGUCAGCGACACAAAAAAGUCUCCAGACACCACAGCCUUCUUGAGAACCUGAAUGGACAGCUGCACAUCAAACCUAAACAGUCAGGCUCUUCAAGAUGAAGACGAGGCUGUUAUGAAGUCUCCUACUGCCUCUCCUGAACCAAGCGACGAAGCCGCUUGCCCCACUAAGACAGGGCAAGGGGUGGACACCAAGCUCCCAUGUACAAGGAUCUAGACUGGGAGGUAGUGUGGACCAGAAUGAGCCAGAUGAACAGCUACCCAACCCACCUACCUCAAACCAGACGGAAGCUGGGGUAGCUGAAGCAGAAAAUGACGAGAACGAGCUGAAACUCGUGGAUGACGGUACCCAUUGCAGCUCCCAAGAGCCCUACCACCACCAAAGGAGCUGGAAAUCGAGGCAGAGGAACCACAACCCCAAUCAUUAGCACCAAUCAGGGCACGGCCGAAAGGGCCAGGGACGCAGUGCCCUUGUCAGGGGAGGAGGAAUCUGAACACAGCGAGCCGGAGCCAAGAGGGCAUUUAAAGCCAGGCAGCAGGUGAAGCCUAGUAAAGUAGAGGAGAGCGAGGAGUCGGACCACUCUGACGUGGAGGAGGAGGAGGAGGAUGAUGAAGAGGAGAAGAAGCUUCCACAGGGAAAGGCAGCAGCACUUCUACGAGCAGAGCGGAGGUCAGCGAGUCCGAGGUUAGAAGGAGACAGCCUCAGAACAGAAGGUCGGCAAGGGACCUCAGGGGUCAAGUGAAGUUUCAGGCCCCGCCCAGUCCUAAGUUUGGCUCAGUACGACCUGCCCCUUUGGAAAGUACUGUUACAGGAAAAACCCAGUCCACUUCCAAGAACCCAGUCACCACGGGGACAGCGACUACGAGGACGAUUCCGCGAAAGACGUGAAGGAAGAGGAGGACGUGGACCAACCUGAGUGUCCAUAUGGCACAGACUGCUACAGCGAUAAAGCCGGUAUCAUUACAACAACGAUGAUGAUGAGUUUGGGGACGAUGACCGCUUCAUCAAUGAUGAGAGCGAGGACGUAAGUGAAGACUAUGAGCCACCUGACUCAGACGACAGUGGCAAGGAGGACCUCAAAAGACUCAAGAAAGAAGCCAAGGCCUUCACAAAUCUGAACUACUGGCCUAAACUGGACUAAUCUCCCCUUACCUGUUUUUAAACUAAGCAUGCUAUUUAAGCAGGGUUGAAGCGUGUUUGGGUAUACCUUUUUUCCUCUUCAAACACACUUGGAAUCCAGCAGGUCUAGAAUCUCAAAUAAUAUUAGUCUCCCUGUGAUGGGAAAAUUGUCAGCAAUUUACCCCAUCAGUUGGGAAGAAUCAAUAAUGGGAUUCUUGACUUGAUGUCUUGAUGUCAUAUUGCUGGCUAUACCUUUAUUUUUUAAGUAAUUGAAUUUAUGUGUAAUACUUUCUUGGAUAGUAAUUCAUCACUAGCAUUUUUGAGGUGUAGAAAUUCUUGAUUAUUGGUUUGUUUGAAUAGUAUGGACAAGCAGUAAAACAUAUAUAUAUAUAUAUAUAUAUAUAUAUUCCUUUAAAAAUCUUUGAUCAGUCCCUUCAGAAAGUUUUCACACCCCUUGAUUUUUUUCACAUUUUGUUGUUAUAAAGUGCAAUUAAAUUGUCAAUUUUUCGUCAACUAUCUACACAAAAGGUUUUGUAAUUUCAAAGAAAAAUGCUAGAUUUAGUAUUUAUUAAGGAAAAUAAUCAGUAAAUGUUAAACACCUUUUGGUGUGAAUUGUUUUGGGUAAGUCUCUAAGUGCUUUGCACACCAGUAUUGUGCAAAAUUUGCCUAUUAUUCUUGAAAAAAUUAUUCAAGCUCUGUCAAGUUGGUUGUUGAUCAUUGUCUGUUGGAAAGCAGACUGAACCAGGUUUUCCUCUAGGUUUUUGCCUGUGCUUAGCUCUAUUCUCUUUAUUUUUAUCCUGAAAAGCUCCCUAGUUCUUGCAGACAAUAAGCAUAUCCAUAACGUGAUGCAGCCACCACCAUGCUGGAAAAUACAAAGAGUGGUACUCAGUGAUGUGAUGAAUUUGCCCCAAACAUAACACUUUGUAUUCAGGACAAAAGUUUUUUUCUUUGCCACAUUAUUCACAGUAUUACUUUAAUUUCUUUUUGCAAACAGGAUGCAUCGUCAUUUAGGUUAGGAUUAUCGAGUAACUACACUGUUUUGAUGGCCUCAUGGUGAAAUCCCUGAGUGGUUUCCUUCCUCUCCAGCAACUGACUUAGGAAGGACGCAUGUGUCUCUGUAGUGACUGGAUGUAUUGAUACACCAUCCAAAACCUAAUGAAUAACUUCACCAUGCUCAAUAUUCAGCAUCUGCUUUUUACAUUUUUUUACUCAUUUACCAAUCGGUGACCUUCUUUGUGAGGAAUUGAGAAACCUCCCUGGUCUUUGUGGUUGAAUCUGUGCUUGAAUUUCACAACUCAACUGAGGGACCUUACAGAUGAUUAUAUGUGUGAGACGGGCUAGUCGUUCAAAAAUCAUGUUAACCACUAUUGCAGAGAGUGAGUCCAUGCAACUUAUGUGAUUUGCUAAGCAAAUGUUUACUCCUGAACUUAUUUACGCUUGUCAUCACAAAGGGGUUGAAUACAUAUUGCCUCAAGCCAUUCCAGCCAUUUUUGUUUUCAUUUGUAAAACAUGCUUAAAAACUCACUUAGACGUUCUGGGGUAUUGUGUGUAGAUCAGUGACACACAAUGUAGUUCUUUAAUCCAUUUUAAAUUCACGCUGUAACACAACAAAAUGUGGGAGAAGUCCAAGGGAUGUGAAUCCUUUCUGAAGGCAUUAUAAAUAAUGUAUCAUACCAGUAGUUAUGUGUUUAAUUGACAGUAGUUUGUCAUGAUUUGUAUGAUCAAUGCCAGUGUCAUGUUUUUCUACAGUACAUAUGCUUUUAUAGAACAAUAUUCAUUGUCUGUCUCAAUGUAGAAAGAUUUGUAAAAAUACACAAGAUGGGAUUACACCAGAGUGUAAUAGUGUUUAAUUAUAAAAAAUAAAUAAAAAUAU